rnacentral:piRNA from 1 species
UUACAAUGGGUUUAGGGUGGCUAUAGAUGG